GAAAAAAACAGCUGCGCGAGUGUUUACUUCACAGAAUCCAAAAAACAACAGCUUUGUCAUGCAGCAUAAUCAUAAAUUGUGACUGCCAAAACGUGGAUAUUUCAACCAUGCGGGUCGCGGGCGUACUGGAGCCUAUCCCAGAUGACUCUGGGCGAGAGGUGGGGGUCGACUCUGAACUGGUCGCCAGCCAAUCGCAGGGAAACCGGAGUACCCGGAGAAAACCCACACAGGCACAGAGAGAAGAUGCAAACUCCACACAGGCAAAGCCGGAUUUGAACCCAGGUCCUCAGAACUGUGAGGCAGAUUUGCUAACCAGUCAG